ensembl:lncRNA
AUUAUUUUGGCUACCGCUAGAAGAAGAGAUCUCAGUGAUUUUGAUCAGAGAGGAAGCAUCGAAGAGAAAUGGUCCAAUCCCAUCAAAAUCUGUCCAUGUGGGAAUACGACAUUCUGUUUAUUAAGCAGACCUUAAUAAACCUUUGGGACAUGGACUCUCAUUGUUAGGGCGGAGACAAGAACAUCUCUUCAUUAUAUACUGUUUUGAAAGAGCGGUCUGAAAGGAGCAUAGGGUGUUUAAAAGGUAUGUGUGUCUGUCUCAGUCACCAGGCUCAACCCUAUUGGACACUUAUGUGAGAUUCUGGAGCGGCGCCUGAGAAGGGUUUUCCACGACCAUCAACAAAAUGAUGGCAUUCCUCCAAAAGAGUUCCAGACUUCUACAAUCUAUGCCAACGUGUACGAAGCCACGCCCUAUACAGACACUUUAUGUUGGUGUUUCCUUUAUUUUGGCAGUUACCUGCACCUGACCUUAUAUUAAAGGACCCACCAGAGGGGAAUGCCACCCUUAUUUCAAUGUAAUUCCUGCUUAAGAGCGGAAAUGCUUGUUUAGGUUCCAUCUCUGAAUAAUGAUGCAGACUACAUAUAGACCUACAUAUUCAUGAACUGCGGGUGGGAAGGAACGUCAUGGUGACUUCCACGUGGAGUGGACAAACAUCAACAAAUAGAUCACUUCAAACCACAACUGCAGUACAGUCAACAGAAAAGAAUCCCAGAGCUGCAGGAUCCAUGUUGGAACACAGAGGUCAUUUUCAACAGGACUCUUUUGUAUAAUGUCAUAUUUUGAUGAAGGGGUGCACUAUAAAUGGCACACAAGAUGAAGUACUACACAGUUGAGACUGGCAAUACUUUGGAUUCUCACAUUCAGUUUAUGAGACGACUCAACAACACCACAAGAUGUUUUACGGAAGUCAAGUCUCCAGAGGAGAGUGAUGUCAUCAUGGCUUUCUGUCCCAUCGUCUCUCGCGCCGGGACUGAUAUUGAAGCAGCACUGCAACAGAUUCCAAAGGGUAAAGAUGUCAUUCUGGUAGUGCUGCAUCACACCUUCAACCCAGACGACACUGUACCUUACAGCAGCAGACUAGUGACCAGAAGUGAUGUAAUACUCACAGUGGACUGUCUGUUCCAUGAGAGACUGGGAGGACUACUGGACUGUCCUCGCAAUGAUGCAGCAGUCAGAAAUAUUAGGCAGAAGUUUGACACAGUGGACUGUCUGUUCCAUGAGAGCCAGGGACUACUGGACUGUUCUCGCAAUGAUGCAGUAGUCAAAAAGAUUAAGCAGAAGCUUGACAUGACCAGAAGUUGUGGCUUCCCAGCUUGGAUUCUAAACGGUGUCAUGUGGGCAGUGUCUUCAGGCUACAACUACGUUUUCAUUCACAAUACACGUCCCUCUACAAGGCCUCGUUCUGGCAAUCUAUCUGUGAUUUGGAGCAAUAUAAUGUGCACAGUGUAUUCAGUCUACAGCUACCUCUGUACACGGCUUUCAUAUGUGAAGGCGCGCUUCUGGGACAAUAAUUAGGUUCCAGUAGGUUCAAAAUCCACAUCCCUCUUCAAGACCUCGUUCCAGAAGUGAUGAAAGCAGUUCCACUUUUGUACCAACAAUGAAGACAUGCUAAUAGUUUUUAUGGAUUCCAUCUUUAAUUCAUGGUCUACUUAAGAAAAUGUCUUUACUUUUGAUGGUAAGAGCACUUGCAGGUGUAAUGUAUAGAAAUUGGGGCCGAUAUUAAAAAUGUUAAUAAAAAUGAAUGGAAAAUAAUAAAGAAGAAACAGGAUCUGUGGAAGGGGAUGCAUCUCAACAUCACUGCUAGUUUGCACAUACAUCAUACUUCUGACACCAGUGUAGCAAACAGUGGGGGUAACCUGGGUUGCUUGACGCAAGAAAAACUUGCUAGCCACAAACUCAAUAGGGAUAGCUUUCUCUUUUCGAGGAGUUUGGAACAGGCAUACAAAGGCUUGACUUUUUCCAAUAGUUCGAUGACUAAGCUGAGCUAAGCUAAACAUUUUUUGUUCAUUUUUUUCACCUUUAUUUAACAAGGUUGGCCAGUUGAGAACAAGUUCUCAUUUACAACUGCGACCCGGCCAAGAUAAAGCAAAGCAGUGCGACACAAACAACACAGAGUUACACACGGUGAGGG